GUGCCAGCAGCCGCGGUAAUACGGAGGGUGCAAGCGUUAAUCGGAAUUACUGGGCGUAAAGGGAGCGCAGGCGGUGACUUAAGUCUGAUGUGAAAGCCCACGGCUCAGCCGUGGAAGGUCAUUGGAAACUGGGUCACUUGAGUGCAGAAGAGGAAAGUGGAAUUCCAUGUGUGGCGGUGAAAUGCGUAGAUAUAUGGAGGAACACCAGUGGCGAAGGCGACUGCCUGGGCUGACAUUGACGCUGAGGUGCGAAAGCGUGGGUAGCAAACAGGAUUAGAAACCCCUGUAGUCC
rnacentral:rRNA from 1 species